UCACACACACUCCUGCUGGUGAUGCCAAAGACAUCCUACCAAUAUGUCUGAGAGAGUGUCAGUUCUGGAGGCAAUGCAGGUGGCCUGAAUGUACCAGUUCCUGUGGAGCAGGGAAUGCAGCCCCAGCUUGUCUGUGAUCUCAGUGGUGUUCAUGGUGUUGAGAAGGGCCUACGUGUUGGGAACACCAGGGGGGCCGCAUUCCAGAGCUCAUCCUCAGCCAACAUCCUCAUGAGCUCCUCAUGGGCCUUGUUCAUGUGCUCUCUGUCACUACUGUCCUCCAUAAAGAUCAGGCCUUAUGUGUUCUGGAAGUAGUGGCACCACAGAGGCCAGAUCUUGUGCUGGCCUGCCAUGUCCCACACAGUGAAGCUGAUGUUCCUAGACUCCAUGUAUCUGCAUUGAAGCCUGUGAUGGGAACAGUGGUCACAAUCUCAACCAGCUUCAGCUUAUACAGAAUCAUCAUCUUGCCUGCAGCAUCUAGGCCCACCAUGAGGACAAGCGUUUCUUUUUUGCCAAAAACGAUCUUAAAGAAGUUGGUGAAAGAUAAUCCCCAUGGACCCUCAGCCUCCCAAGUAGCUGGUACUACAGAUGAGCACCACGACGCCUGGCUAAUGUAUAUAUUUUUAGUAGAAAUGGGGGUUUUGCCACGUUGGCCAGGCUGGUCUCGAACUCCUGGCCUCAAGUGAUCCACCCACCUCAGCCUCCCAAAGUGUUGGGAUUACAGGCAU
rnacentral:lncRNA from 1 species